CUUGGUCAUUUAGAGGAAGUAAAAGUCGUAACAAGGUUUCCGUAGGUGAACCUGCGGAAGGAUCAUUAACGAAGGCGAGAAUUUCUAGUAGAUUCUCGUUUGAUCAACCACAGUCCAAUAAUAGUGCGAAAAAAUGGGGAAACCCAUUGUAUUUUAUUAAUAAAACAAAACUUUCAACAACGGAUCUCUUGGCUCUUGCAUCGAUGAAGAACGCAGCGAAUUGCGACAAGUAGUGUGAAUUGCAGAAUUCCGUGAAUCAUCGAAUCUUUGAACGCAUAUUGCACUUUUUGGUAUUCCGAAAAGUAUGCCUGUUUGAGGGUCAUUGAAUUAAUCGGUCUAGUACCCACGGGUAUUGAAUCGGAAAGAUGAGCAUUUCGUAAUAUUUUUAUUAUGAUUGCUCGAAAUUGAAGCAGUGGUCUCGGCCUAAUAUAGAGACGCGUUUACGGUGGCAUGCCUCCAAUAUUUCGCAACUUUUUGGUCGAAUUCCAUGGUGGUUUGGGCUAUUUCUCUUUGAGGAAAAGCGCAUACAAUUUUUUAAUCUUGACCUCAAAUCAAGCAAGAAUACCCGCUGAACUUAAGCAUAUCAAUAAGCGGAGGA
rnacentral:rRNA from 1 species